rnacentral:rRNA from 1 species
UACAGAGGUCCCAAGCGUUGUUCGGAUUCACUGGGCGUAAAGGGUGCGUAGGUGGUUGGGUAAGUCUGAUGUGAAAUCUCCGGGCUCAACCCGGAAAUGGCAUUGGAUACUAUUCGGCUAGAGGUUUGGAGGGGGGACUGGAAUUCUCGGUGUAGCAGUGAAAUGCGUAGAUAUCGAGAGGAACACCAGUGGCGAAGGCGGCUCACUGGCUCGUAACUGACGCUCAUGCACGACAGCGUGGGGAUCAAACAGG